UGACCAAAUGGUUCCGAUAGCUAGGUCUUCGGCUGUGAGAUAAUAGGGCAGCAGCCAUAUGAAGGGUGUUGGAUUUGGAAAUCAACAACUCUAUCUUUCUCCGGCCAUGAUCCUUGGUAGCGAGCACUUCUCCGGUUGUGAAUUAACAUAGAGGUUUCCGAUUCAGGAUUCGAGGUGGAUGUGAUCGUCUAGAUUUGUUGAA